rnacentral:miRNA from 1 species
CAGGAUGACAGAAGGAAAACCU